CGUUGUUUACGUCCAGGGUCGACAAUCAGGAAUAUCGUUUCAAUAUGUGUACAGUCAGGAUUAUCGUUUUAAUAUGUGUCUCUGCGUGUGGUUAUCUAGAACACAAAUUCAGUUAGGCUGAAAAAUAAAUAGCGUUUGAAAAGCAAAUACCGGGACAUAAGACAAAAGUAAAACUCAAACAGCUUACUUCCUGACACACUCAAUAUGGCAGACUACUGCAACCAGGUUUGAACUUUCCGUAUCGGUGUCAGUGAGACGUAAGUGAUGUUCAUGGACGAAAGGAACCAGAACUGGUUGAAUGACAUUUAAACUAAAACGAUGGAAGAAGUAACAAAUAUGAUUUCCAGCUGUUAUUGUAAAAUUACUUGACGCUGAACGCAUGAGCGGUGCUCGUGCAGUUAAAGAUGUCGCGCGUUACAGCUGAUUUGAAGUAUCAAACACUUCUCGAGUGUAAUUACUGUUACCCUGAGGAGGUGCUUAAUGACGUCAAAGACGUGUCGACGAAUUUCCCUCACCUGCAGUUAUAUGUGGACUAUUAUUUCUAUCCAAACAAUGAUAAGAAGAAGUUGGUUUAUUUGGGUGGCACCGUUCCUGUUACAUAUGAAGGUACUAUGUACAACAUUCCAGUCUGUAUUUGGAUCCAUGAGACCCAUCCCAAAAACCCACCCAGGUGUUUUGUUUGCCCUUCACCCUCCAUGAUCAUCAACGCUGAAAGCGGAAAUGUUGAUGCCAAUGGUCGCAUCCUUCUCCACUGCCUCAACAACUGGAAGAUUGGCUGGUCGAACUUGUCGAUAGUUCUGGAAGAGAUGAUUGCCGCCUUUCAGCGUGAAACUCCUCUGUUUGCAACCCAUCCAGUCCAAACCCCUCCACUGCAUCCUCAAGCAAAACACCUGCAAGCUGAACUGGUAGUUCAACCGAAUCCUGUUUUGUCUUAUGGCAGCUGGCCACAUACGGGCAGCAGUUCAGUGCAAAAAAUGUCAACAGCUCAACAUGGAGCGUCCAUCUCAUCUGUGCCUCAGCAUGCCAGCAACAGCCUACCCAAGAGUACAAAGUCCCAGAUGAACCUGAAUCAAGCCAGUGAAACAGAUAUGAGCGGGGUAAGGAGAUCAUACACGCAAGAGCUGCUGGAUUUCGGGAUCACGUUUGGUGCUCAAGCUUUGGAGACUAACCACCAAACAAACCCAUUUAUUUCUCCUGCCUCAGUUCCCACCAGCAAUGCUUCUAAUGUUGAUGACAUAGACGACCUGUUCAAAAGCCUUCAAUUACAAAGAGUUGUCAACAUGUACCAGUUGAGCAACAGGGACAAAGAUGUUCAUCAUGCUGGAGGAGUGUGGCAGGAUUGUGGUGGUGGAGUUCAGUCCAGCUUAGUGGAUGAUUGUCACAAGGUUGUGGUAAGCCGGCUUCCUGUGGGCGUCUCUCCCAGCAAGAUGAAGAACAAGCUCAUCAUCUUCUUCCAGCGGAGACAGAAUGCAGGAGGAGAGGUUCUAGAUGUCAAAUACCCUGCAGCACUGCCAGACCAGGCCUGGGUGCUCUUCAGACGCCAAAGAGACGCAGAGUAUGUUCUGAGGCAGCCCGACAGGGUGAUUACCAUUAAUGAGCAGCCAUUUCUUAUUCAGCUGAAGAAGUUUGAGGACAUGGAGCUCCCAGGUGGUGUUGAAGGUGAGAAAGCUAAAGUGUUUAGGAGCAUCUUGAGUCUGGAAGGGUGCAGUUUCAGCUCCACGGAUGUUCUGGAAGCAGUGCAGUCAUGCCGAGACUUCCCCUCUGCUCUGAAAUAUCUCUGCCAUGAUUGCCCUAUAUGCCAGGAGCAAGUGUCCUUCAAUAGGAUGGUCACCAUGACACACUGCUCUUGCACAUUCUGUGAGAGCUGUUUUAAGAAGUACUUCUCCUCUGUCAUUAAGGAGAAGAAUAUAGUACAUGCUGUGUGUCCACUCUGUAAUCUUCCUGAUGUACAAAGAGGCCGCAGGGAGGAGUCUAUGGAGUACUUCGGUCUACUCGACACACAGAUCAAGUAUUAUUUGGACCCCCAGAUCCAUGAGCUCUUCCAGAGGAAGCUCAGAGACCAGGCACUUCAGGAAAUGCCCAACUUCCGCUGGUGUGCACAUUGCUGCUUUGGGCUCCUUCAUGAAGCAAACAGGCUGAGGAUGGAUUGCCCCAGCUGUGGGAAAAGCACAUGCUUUCAGUGUAAAAGGCCGUGGGCUCCACAACAUGAAGGAAUCUCAUGUGAGAAGUUCAAAGAGUGGGAGCAACUCAACAGCCCCGAGUACCAGAACUCAAGGCUGGAGCAGCUCCUCAGCAGGAACAAAAUAGACUGUCCAAAAUGCAAAUUUCGCUUCUUCCUGGCCAGAGGAGGCUGUUUGCAUUUCAAAUGCACUCAGUGCCAGCACGAAUUCUGCGGUGGCUGCAGUCAGCCAUUUAAACAAGGCUCUGCCUGUACUUUUUCUACUGAGUGUGGAGCUAAGGGUUUACAUGCUCAUCACCCUCGAAACUGCCUGUAUCAUCUGAGAGACUGGAGUGUCCCAAGACUAAGGACCCUGCUGCAGCACUAUGGGGUAUCACAUCCUCUCAUGUUCAGCCCCAAAAAUACAGCAGGGAGACACUCUAAAGGUAUUUGUGGUGUAAUGGAGUUCCAGGAAUCAGGAGCUCUGAAGGAAGAGCCAUGUGGACGAACAGCUCUCCCAGAGUACAGUGGUUACUGCAUGGUACAUUAUAAAGAGUGUCUGGUGGAGUUAAUAAACAGCAAUGCACUGGACCCUGUGGUACUGUUAGGUGGUGCAGAGUUGAAGGCAGAAAUGGAGCGCUGGAAAGUGCCUGUCCCAGAAAAACAACCUUCAGAACCAGAUCAACGAUACGAGGACAGACUUCGGCAGGUUAGUGCAUACUGGCAUCAAAUCAUUCCUGUUACUAUGUAGAGUAAAGCAUAAUUUGUGCACUGACAUAUCCUGUCAUUUAAAUCACAUUUUUGCUGUUUUUUUUUAUUUUUUAUUAAGGGACUUAACUAAUUGAAAAUUUGUAUGCAAUAGAAUGAAUAUUUUUGUGGUUUUCAUUGCACCAACGUAAAGGUGCGUUCUGUUGUUCCUUAGCUUACUGUAGAAUUGCUGUUGUCAUACUUUAAUUUCUUAUACCCUCAACAGUUCACUGCCAUCUAUCAAUGUGUAUCGGAGUUUUCUGUACAUUACACUGGUACUGGUUUCAUAGAACUUCCUACACAAUAAUUACUUCACUUACCUGUCUAACACAAAAAACUACUUUGCCAUUAUUACUUUUUCCAUCAACUUGUAUAAGCCGUACCAAUUUUUCCUUGGUUUCAACAUUUUUUAAUUUUAUUUUUUAUUUUUACCGCUGCAGAGGUACCGAUUCCGUUGUCUCUACUGAUAAAGCACAAUUAUAAAUGUGUUUGUUUUUCUAAUUUAUGCUUUUCAUAUCACCAAACAACACUAAGCUACUAGCCUAUCUACAAAAGGAAGCAUGAGGAUUUUCUCCCACGUUAAGUGGAAAACUGCAGGACACUUCAUUUCAACAUGAUCUUAAAAGAGAGGGUUAGUCUGACCAGCGGUGCAGCUCCUGGAUUGAAGGCAGUUGCUCCUCCCAC